rnacentral:rRNA from 1 species
UUGUACGGGCCUGGGGGCAACUCCAGGUCAGUGGCGGACGGGUGCGUAACACGUAAGUAACGUGUCCGACGGUGGGGGAUAGCCGGCCCAACGGCCGGGUAAUACCGCAUAAAGUGCCCCGGGGCAUCCCGGGUCAUGAAAGCCGGGGCAACCUGGCGCCGACGGAGCGGCUUGCGGCCUAUCAGCUAGUUGGUGAGGUCACGGCUCACCAAGGCGACGACGGGUAGCUGGUCUGAGAGGAUGACCAGCCACAUUGGGACUGAGACACGGCCCAGACUCCUACGGGAGGCAGCAGUGGGGAAUAUUGCGCAAUGGGCGAAUGCCUGACGCAGCGACGCCGCGUGUGGGAUGAAGGUCUUCGGAUCGUAAACCACUGUCGGGGGGGACGAAGGCCCGGGGUUAACUGCCACCGGGAUUGACGGUACCCUCAAAGGAAGCACCGGCUAACUCUGUGCCAGCAGCCGCGGUAAUACAGAGGGUGCGAGCGUUGUCCGGAAUCA